ACGGCUCAGUAACACGUGGAUAACCUGCCCAAGGGUCUGGGAUAACCCCGGGAAACUGGGGAUAAUACCGGAUGGAUCACUAGUGCUGGAAUGCUUGGUGGUCGAAAGGCAACGCCUUUGGAUGGGUCUGCGGCGGAUUAGGUUGACGCCGGUGUAACGUACCGGCGUGCCUGUAAUCCGUACGGGUUGUGGGAGCAAGAGCCCGGAGAUGGAUUCUGAGACACGAAUCCAGGCCCUACGGGGCGCAGCAGGCGCGAAAACUCUACAAUGCAGGCAACUGCGAUAGGGGGACAUCGAGUGGCAUCCACCUUGGGUGCCUGUCCAACCGUCUAAAAAACGGUUGUUAGCAAGGGCCGGGUAAGACCGGUGCCAGCCGCCGCGGUAAUACCGGCGGCUCGAGUGGUGGCCGAUAUUAUUGAGUCUAAAGGGUCCAUAGCCGGCUUUGCAAGUCCCCUGGGAAAUCCAGCGGCUUAACCGUUGGGCUUUCAUGGGAUACUACAUUGCUUGGGACUGGGAGAGGUAGGAGGUACUCGGGGGGUAGGGGUGAAAUCCUGUAAUCCUCCGGGGACCACCGGUGGCGAAGGCGUCCUACCAGAACAGGUCCGACGGUGAGGGACGAAAGCUAGGGGCACGAACCGGAUUAGAUACCCGGGUAGUCCUAGCCGUAAACGAUGCCCGCUAGGUGUCACGACGGUCGUGAACCGUCGUGGUGCCGUAGGGAAGCCGCGAAGCGGGCCACUUGGGAAGUACGGCCGCAAGGCUGAAACUUAAAGGAAUUGGCGGGGGAGCAC
rnacentral:rRNA from 1 species